AGGUAGCAAGAAGUUUCUGUUGAUUACCUACAUGCCUGGCUUAAAAGCUAAAGGUCGAAAGGGUGCCUACAGCCUCUUUCCAGACAUUCCCCGUUGUCUUGAUAAAUUUUGCUAAAUAAUGGCUGAUGAGAGUAUUUAUAUCUUGAGCAAAAUGGCUUGCACAUAACAACUGUUUUAGUCCCUCUAUUCCUCCAGAAAGCAUCUCAGGAAAAUGCUCCAGAAUAAUUUCCAGAAUAGGAAACCUCAGAUUUACAUGUGAGUAGGCUGCUUCGUUUUUUGCCCAUUUUCCCCUGAAUAUUUACUAACAUGUA